ACAGAGAGAACAGGCAGUGGAGAAGGAGCUGUUUCUCCCCAACCACAUGCAUCUGCAAGAGUGAGGAGUGGAACAGGCAGAGCCAGAGAACAGCAGAGUUGAGGUUUUCCAAGGAGGUACAUGCAGCAGAAUAUGCAAGAGAUUCGAGUGUGUCCAGAGGAAUUUAUCCUAACAAUUGACCAUGGAAGGUGACCAGAUGGGUGUGAAGAUAGUGUCUUGCAAUGUCGCCCAGGCUGGAGUGCAGUGGUGCCCCUCCUGUUGUGAAUGGACAGAGUCCUGAGCAAGGAAACCUAGAAGGGAGAGAGGAAUACCAUGGAAUUGAGUCCUGUCUGGUAGCACUGACAGACACAGUGGCCAGCCACCCUCAUGCCACCCUGUCCUGCCAUGGGAAGGAACAGCAGCUCUAGAGUUCCUAUGGGAACUCUCUUUCCUUCUCACUGAACUCUAGCUUCAUCAAUAACUCAGUGCCUCUGGCCAAGUUUUUAGCCUCUGGGACAACAUCCACUAUAUCCAUAUGAGGCACUCAUGUAACACGGUGAUUAAGAGUACAGAUGCUGAAGCCAGCAGCCUAAGUCUGAAUCCUGACUGCCAAUUAUUAAUAUAAGUUGUGGAACCAUGGUCAAGUUACUCAACCUCUUUAUGCCUCUGUCUCCUGGUCUACGAAAUGAAGCUUUGAAUCUGCUGUUAUUAAGUUGCUGGUGCUGAAAUAACACUUAUUAUUUAUGAUCUAACUGAAAUGGGAACACUGGAAACUUCUUUGAAACUGAAGAAAAAAAUGAAAAAGAAGUUUUUACAAUCAAAACUGCCAUGAAGACUGCUUUACCCAAAAUUUUGGUCCACAGCUUUCAUUGAAUUACUUAUCAGGGCAAACAAAGUUUAGCCAUGUGAACACGUUCCAAUUUUGUUGGAAAUAAUUUGGAUCCAGCUAUCUUUAUACAAUGGUGAGUUCGUAUUGCAUCUCAUGGCUAAAAUACUGAGGUAAAGGCUUUUGGAUCUUUGUGUGUGUGUGUGUGCAUGUGACAAAAACAAGCAAUGGGGAAAGGAGUCCCUAUUUAAUAAAUGGUGUUGGGAGAACUGGCUAGCCAUAUGCAGAAAGUUGAAACUGGAGCCCCUCCUUAUACCAUAUACAAAAAUCAACUCAAGAUGAAUUAAAGACUUAAAUGUAAAAACCCAAACUAUAAAAACCCUAGAAGAAAAUCUAGGCAAUACCAUUCAGGACAUGGGCACAGGCAAAUAUUUCAUGACAAAGAUGCCAAAAGCAGUAGCAACAAAAGCAAAAAUUGACAAAUGGAAUCUAAUUAAACUAAAGAGCUUCUGUACAGCAAAGAAAUUAUCAUCAGAGUGAACAGACAGCUUACAGCAUGGGAGAAAAUUUUUGCAGUAUAUCCAUCUGACAAAGGUCUAAUAUUCAGCAUCUACAAGGAACUUAAACAAAUUUACAAGAAAAAAAAACAACGCCAUUAAAAAAUGGGCAAAGGACGUGGACAGACACUUCUCAAAAGAAGAAAUUUAUGUGGGCAAUGAACAUUUUUUUUAAAAAAGCUCAACACCACUGAUCAUUAGAGAAAUGCACAUGAAAACCACAAUGAGAUACCAUCUCACACCAGUCAGAAUGGCUAUUACUUAAAGGUCAAAAAACAACAGAUGAUAGCAAGGUUGUGAAGAAAAAUGAACACUUUUAUACGUUGGUUGGAGUAUAAAUUAGUUCUACCCUUGUCGAAGACAGUGUGGUGAUUCCUCAAAGACCUAGGGGAAGAAAUAUCAUUUGACCCAGCAAUCUCAUUACUGGGUAUAUACCCAGAGGAAUAUAAAUCAUUCUAUUAUAAAGAUACAUGUGCAUGUUCAUUGCAAAAUAGCAAAAACAUGGAAUCAACCUAAAUGCUCAUCAAUGACAGACUUGAUAAAGGAAAUAUGGUACGUAUACACCAAGGAAUACCAUGCAGCCAUAAAAAGGAACAAGAUAAUGUCUUUUGCAGGGACCUGGAUGGAACCAGAAGCCAUUAUCCUCAGCAAAUUAAUGCAGGAACAGAAAAGCAAAUACCACAUGUUCUCACUUGUAAGUGGUAGCUGAAUGAUGAGAACACAUGGACACAUGGUGGGGAACAAUACACACUGGGGCCUGUUGCAGGGUGCGGAGUGGGAGGGAGAGCAUCGGGAAGAAUAGCUAAUGCAUGCUGGGCUUAAUACCUAGGGGAUGGAAUGAUCUGUGCUGCAAACCACUAUGGCACACAUUUACCUAUGUAACAAACCUACACAUCCUGCACAUGUACCCCUGACCUUAAAAUAAAAGUUGGAAAUAAAAAAAACCCUAAACAUAUACCUAC
rnacentral:lncRNA from 1 species